UACGUAGGGUGCAAGCGUUACUCGGAAUUACUGGGCGUAAAGCGUGCGCAGGCGGUUGUGCAAGACAGAUGGGAAAUCCCCGGGCUCAACCUGGGAACUGCAUUUGUGACUGCACGGCUAGAGUGUGUCAGAGGGGGGUAGAAUUCCACGUGUAGCAGUGAAAUGCGUAGAUAUGUGGAGGAAUACCGAUGGCGAAGGCAGCCCCCUGGGAUAACACUGACGCUCAUGCACGAAAGCGUGGGGAGCAAACAGG
rnacentral:rRNA from 1 species